rnacentral:rRNA from 1 species
GGGUUGUGAGGUUAAGCGACUAAGCGUACACGGUGGAUGCCCUGGCAGUCAGAGGCGAUGAAGGACGUGCUAAUCUGCGAUAAGCGUCGGUAAGGUGAUAUGAACCGUUAUAACCGGCGAUUUCCGAAUGGGGAAACCCAGUGUGAUUCGUCACACUAUCAUUAACUGAAUCCAUAGGUUAAUGAGGCGAACCGGGGGAACUGAAACAUCUAAGUACCCCGAGGAAAAGAAAUCAACCGAGAUUCCCCCAGUAGCGGCGAGCGAACGGGGAGGAGCCCAGAGCCUGAAUCAGUGUGUGUGUUAGUGGAAGCGUCUGGAAAGGCGCGCGAUACAGGGUGACAGCCCCGUACACAAAAAUGCACAUGCUGUGAGCUCGAUGAGUAGGGCGGGACACGUGGUAUCCUGUCUGAAUAUGGGGGGACCAUCCUCCAAGGCUAAAUACUCCUGACUGACCGAUAGUGAACCAGUACCGUGAGGGAAAGGCGAAAAGAACCCCGGCGAGGGGAGUGAAAAAGAACCUGAAACCGUGUACGUACAAGCAGUGGGAGCCUCUUUAUGGGGUGACUGCGUACCUUUUGUAUAAUGGGUCAGCGACUUAUAUUCUGUAGCAAGGUUAACCGAAUAGGGGAGCCGAAGGGAAACCGAGUCUUAACUGGGCGUUAAGUUGCAGGGUAUAGACCCGAAACCCGGUGAUCUAGCCAUGGGCAGGUUGAAGGUUGGGUAACACUAACUGGAGGACCGAACCGACUAAUGUUGAAAAAUUAGCGGAUGACUUGUGGCUGGGGGUGAAAGGCCAAUCAAACCGGGAGAUAGCUGGUUCUCCCCGAAAGCUAUUUAGGUAGCGCCUCGUGAAUUCAUCUCCGGGGGUAGAGCACUGUUUCGGCAAGGGGGUCAUCCCGACUUACCAACCCGAUGCAAACUGCGAAUACCGGAGAAUGUUAUCACGGGAGACACACGGCGGGUGCUAACGUCCGUCGUGAAGAGGGAAACAACCCAGACCGCCAGCUAAGGUCCCAAAGUCAUGGUUAAGUGGGAAACGAUGUGGGAAGGCCCAGACAGCCAGGAUGUUGGCUUAGAAGCAGCCAUCAUUUAAAGAAAGCGUAAUAGCUCACUGGUCGAGUCGGCCUGCGCGGAAGAUGUAACGGGGCUAAACCAUGCACCGAAGCUGCGGCAGCGACACUAUGUGUUGUUGGGUAGGGGAGCGUUCUGUAAGCCUGUGAAGGUGUACUGUGAGGUAUGCUGGAGGUAUCAGAAGUGCGAAUGCUGACAUAAGUAACGAUAAAGCGGGUGAAAAGCCCGCUCGCCGGAAGACCAAGGGUUCCUGUCCAACGUUAAUCGGGGCAGGGUGAGUCGACCCCUAAGGCGAGGCCGAAAGGCGUAGUCGAUGGGAAACAGGUUAAUAUUCCUGUACUUGGUGUUACUGCGAAGGGGGGACGGAGAAGGCUAUGUUGGCCGGGCGACGGUUGUCCCGGUUUAAGCGUGUAGGCUGGUUUUCCAGGCAAAUCCGGAAAAUCAAGGCUGAGGCGUGAUGACGAGGCACUACGGUGCUGAAGCAACAAAUGCCCUGCUUCCAGGAAAAGCCUCUAAGCAUCAGGUAACAUCAAAUCGUACCCCAAACCGACACAGGUGGUCAGGUAGAGAAUACCAAGGCGCUUGAGAGAACUCGGGUGAAGGAACUAGGCAAAAUGGUGCCGUAACUUCGGGAGAAGGCACGCUGAUAUGUAGGUGAAGCGACUUGCUCGUGGAGCUGAAAUCAGUCGAAGAUACCAGCUGGCUGCAACUGUUUAUUAAAAACACAGCACUGUGCAAACACGAAAGUGGACGUAUACGGUGUGACGCCUGCCCGGUGCCGGAAGGUUAAUUGAUGGGGUUAGCGCAAGCGAAGCUCUUGAUCGAAGCCCCGGUAAACGGCGGCCGUAACUAUAACGGUCCUAAGGUAGCGAAAUUCCUUGUCGGGUAAGUUCCGACCUGCACGAAUGGCGUAAUGAUGGCCAGGCUGUCUCCACCCGAGACUCAGUGAAAUUGAACUCGCUGUGAAGAUGCAGUGUACCCGCGGCAAGACGGAAAGACCCCGUGAACCUUUACUAUAGCUUGACACUGAACAUUGAGCCUUGAUGUGUAGGAUAGGUGGGAGGCUUUGAAGUGUGGACGCCAGUCUGCAUGGAGCCGACCUUGAAAUACCACCCUUUAAUGUUUGAUGUUCUAACGUUGGCCCGUGAUCCGGGUUGCGGACAGUGUCUGGUGGGUAGUUUGACUGGGGCGGUCUCCUCCUAAAGAGUAACGGAGGAGCACGAAGGUUGGCUAAUCCUGGUCGGACAUCAGGAGGUUAGUGCAAUGGCAUAAGCCAGCUUGACUGCGAGCGUGACGGCGCGAGCAGGUGCGAAAGCAGGUCAUAGUGAUCCGGUGGUUCUGAAUGGAAGGGCCAUCGCUCAACGGAUAAAAGGUACUCCGGGGAUAACAGGCUGAUACCGCCCAAGAGUUCAUAUCGACGGCGGUGUUUGGCACCUCGAUGUCGGCUCAUCACAUCCUGGGGCUGAAGUAGGUCCCAAGGGUAUGGCUGUUCGCCAUUUAAAGUGGUACGCGAGCUGGGUUUAGAACGUCGUGAGACAGUUCGGUCCCUAUCUGCCGUGGGCGCUGGAGAACUGAGGGGGGCUGCUCCUAGUACGAGAGGACCGGAGUGGACGCAUCACUGGUGUUCGGGUUGUCAUGCCAAUGGCACUGCCCGGUAGCUAAAUGCGGAAGAGAUAAGUGCUGAAAGCAUCUAAGCACGAAACUUGCCCCGAGAUGAGUUCUCCCUGACUCCUUGAGAGUCCUGAAGGAACGUUGAAGACGACGACGUUGAUAGGCCGGGUGUGUAAGCGCAGCGAUGCGUUGAGCUAACCGGUACUAAUGAACCGUGAGGCUUAACCUUACAACGCCGAAGGUGUUU